rnacentral:rRNA from 1 species
ACUCCUGCGGGAGGCAGCAGUGGGGAAUUUUGGACAAUGGGCGAAAGCCUGAUCCAGCAAUGCCGCGUGCAGGAUGAAGGCCUCCGGGUUGUAAACUGCUUUUGUACGGAACGAAAAAGCUCCUUCUAAUACAGGGGGCCCAUGACGGUACCGUAAGAAUAAGCACCGGCUAACUACGUGCCAGCAGCCGCGGUAAUACGUAGGGUGCGAGCGUUAAUCGGAAUUACUGGGCGUAAAGCGUGCGCAGGCGGUUAUGUAAGACAGAUGUGAAAUCCCCGGGCUCAACCUGGGAACUGCAUUUGUGACUGCAUGGCUAGAGUACGGUAGAGGGGGAUGGAAUUCCGCGUGUAGCAGUGAAAUGCGUAGAUAUGCGGAGGAACACCGAUGGCGAAGGCAAUCCCCUGGACCUGUACUGACGCUCAUGCACGAAAGCGUGGGGAGCAAACAGGAUUAGAAACCCCGGUAGUCCCAU